ensembl:ncRNA R02F11.7 ncRNA
GUACGUAACAGUGAGGAGAGAGGGGAGGGGACACUAACUGACCGUCUUCUCUUUUUCGUCUCCCUCCGACUUUCUGUGUUAGCUUAGACUCUGGCGCCUCCGCGCGGCGACGUGCUCUUUGCGCGCGGCACGAAACUCUCUCAUUUCCCCCAUCGGGCUCAGUCCAGUCUAUGUGUUUGUAAAAUGAAGUGGACGAUUGAUGUUCAAAUACUUGAGUG